rnacentral:rRNA from 1 species
UACGGGGGGGGCAAGCGUUGUUCGGAAUUACUGGGCGUAAAGGGCUCGUAGGCGGCCAACUAAGUCGGAUGUGAAAUCCCCAGGCUUAACCUGGGAACUGCAUCCGAUACUGGUUGGCUUGAAUCCGGGAGAGGGAUGCAGAAUUCCAGGUGUAGCGGUGAAAUGCGUAGAUAUACGGAAGGAACAUCAGUGGCAGAAAGCGACUUCCUGGACCAAUACUGACGCUCAUGUGCGAAAAGCGUGGGGAGCAAACAGG